CCUGCCCACUGAUUUUUUAAAUGGCCGCAGUAUUCUAACUGUGCAAAGGUAGCAUAAUCAUUAGUCUUUUAAUUGAAGGCUGGUAUGAACGGUUGGACGAAGUAUAAGCUGUUUCAUAUGAAAUUAUAUUAGAAUUUUAUAUUUUAGUUAAAAAGCUAAAAUUUUAUUAAAAGACGAGAAGACCCUAUAAAUCUUUAUAUUUAUGAUUGUUUGAAUUUUUUGGAUUAAUUUUAUUUUUAUAAUUAUAAAUAUUUUGUUGGGGUGAUGUUAAAAUUUAAUAAACUUUUAAUUAUUAAUUUAAAUCAUUAAUUUAUGAAUAAUUGAUCCAUUAUUAGUGAUUAUAAGAUUAAGUUACUUUAGGGAUAACAGCGUAAUUUUUUUUGAGAGUUCAUAUCGACAAAAAAGUUUGCGACCUCGAUGUUGGAUUAAGAUAUAUAUUUAGGUGUAGCCGCUUAAACAUAAAGUCUGUUCGA
rnacentral:rRNA from 1 species